AAAGGAAAAUGAACGCCUUUGAAAACAAUGCUAUGGGCUAAUCGCCGAAAUGGAGAAGGAAAUAAAACUGUUGCAAGACCAGAACUUCCAUGACUCCCAGGUGUUAGAGGCUCGUAACCAGCAGAUAAGCCAGCUACUCCAAGAAAAGGGCCGGAUUAGGGAAAGAAUCAGAGGUAUUGCACAUUCUACUAUCAUGAAAUGUCGGGCCGGUGAACGAAUGGGUCGUACCACUUUCUUUGCUACAGUGAUGAUAUUUCUUCAUCAGGUUUUGAAUAAUCUAGAGCAGUUACAAAGGGGUAUUGCACGUAGGCCCGCGGAGAUGCCGAAUUAUGCCCCGCGGGCCCCAUGAUUUGAAGCUUUAAUGUACUUUUGAUCUAGUUAUCGAGUAUGUAUUUUGUUAUUUCGAGUCUAUUUUGUAAUUUUCAUUUUAAGAAAUCAAACGGUCUAGUAUCUUUGUAAUCAGAGUUUUAUUAAUGUAAUAAGAGUUUUAUUAAUGAAAAAUUGAAAAUUUCAAAAAUUGUUUCCUUAUCUUGCAUUCGUUUUGCAUGAACUACGCCUGGUCUGAUUCAUGCUGGGUCAUGAUAUGUAGGAAAUAUCCAUAGGAUUAGACCGUUACCAAAUGAAAAAGAUAAAGGAAAGAGAGAAAAAAUAGGAGAGAAACAAGAAAAGAAAGAGAAUGAAAAGAAAGAGGUGAAAAACAAGAGAUAAAGAAAAACAAAAGAGAUAGAAAGAAAAACCGAAAAGAAAAUAAGAAAUCAAACGAAAGAAACAAAGGCAUAAGUGAGGAAAAGAUGAAAGGAAACAAAAACCAAACAAUGUUUCAAUCGGAAAUAAGGAAAGCCGGGAUGAUGCAAGCAGUCGAGGAAAUGCAUAAUAGAAUCUGUUAACUGCUUAGGUACAUUCAUUCCCCCAAACAUGCGGUUAUCGAAUCUGUUAAUUCCCAUACCACUAACUAAGUUGGUGUUAACAUUGAGUUCAGGCAGGUGGUUAGUUGAUUGGCAUUCUGGAAAUCCAUUCUUACUACACUCGAUCAAAAGACAAGCUAAAAAUGAUAUGCCAAGAAUCAGAUACCAGUAUUGUGGACCCGACAAAAGAGGUAGAGGUGAUGAAUGUUAACGCAAUGAGGGAAGAAAUGUAUAAGAUGAGGCAGCAAAUUGCCGAAAUGCAUCAGGCAUGGGCUAAAGGUGAGCCGGCGUCAGUUUAUCCCGCCAAUCCAACCUAUAUCCCACAUUUGGUUCAGUCUCAGGAGCCUUCUACUGUGAACUCAUCUCCCGCUUUCCCUUUCUACCAACAGAGUUCUGGCACCACCUCUGUCACACCUCCUGUGUAAGGGUAUAUAGAAGUUCUUUCAAUUAAAGGAUAAUCGAAACGGAAUUUAUUAUUAAGAUUCAGAGUCACCACUUGGGAAAUUAAUAGUGUCACAAGUUACUGGUUGAACCCUGAAUCGAGGAAAAUAUGACUCUAUUUAAUAGUCCGCGAGCCAAAAAUCCGAGAAAGAAAUUCUGUUAACCUGGGAGAAGGUGUUAGGCAUUCCCGGGUUCCAUGCUCUAGCACGGUCAUUCAACUGCUAUAUUGGCUUAGUUAUCUGAUUUUAACACAUUUUGAACCUUUAUGCCGAUUUUAGAUUUUGACCACUUUUAUUCAAUUUUUUUAAAAAAAGUUGAACAUUGUUUAAAACGUGUCUUUAGAUCGCGUCACAUGAAAUGCACCCGCAAUCCUGAACACAUUUUAUUCAACAUUUUGGGAUUUGAUUUGGGUCACAUGAAAUGUACACUGGAACGUAGGAAAAUAACAUUAUUAAAUACGCGCAUAAUGCAACUAAUGCAUUAUUAUCUUUGAGGAAGGCCAUAAAAUCGCUAAACGGCCCAUCCCGAAUUCUAAGUAUUUUAAUAUAGAUAUUUAAAAAAGGCCACGUAAUUUAUGCAUUUUGUUUGGUGAGGCUCAUCUCAUGUUUAUUAUGCAAAAGCCAACCUAAAAGCAAUCUAUCAUUUGUCUAUUGAAUUUGUCUCUUAAAGGACCUAGUUAGUUAACAUUAUAAAAUUCGGACCUCAAGUUCAUGUCCGGAUCCAAACAAAAGGAAGAAGCCUCUUCAUUUGAACCCGCAACCUAAAUCAAAGGUCCUAAAUUUACAUUAUUUUAAAUUACGAUUUAAGGCCUUUAAGCCCAAAAUUAAACUAGAGAAUUUUAGGUAGCUUUGAUGAGGGUGGGCCUGUUCAAAAGGCCUGAACUGAAAGUAAGCUGAACUUACAACUAAAAUUAACUAAGCAAGUAAAAUUAACCCAUCAGACUUUUAGAAAAUAAACAUCUUAUACUAAUCAAUUGACCAAUACAUGAAACAAUAGGCAUAAAUUAGGAAAGAAAAACCGAUUUCGGAUUUCAUGUCCAACCUAAACAACCUCUAAUCAUAAUUCCAAUUGACAGUGCAAUUUAGUACUCCAAUUACUUAAGUAUUUUCCUUGACUUCUAUGUUAUAGCUCUAGAUUAUUGUUCCUGAAGAACUAAAGUGUGUCAGUUUGCCAUUUUAACAUUUACAACGAUUAAAUGGAUCAACAAUUCACCCAAAAUGUGUUAAAAGUUCAGAACCUGACAUUACACUUAUGAAACUUAAACCCAAAUCAAAUUUCGUUUUUGAAAAACCUGUAAACUAGUAAAUACGGAUCAAUUUAUGCUUAUGCAAUUGUUAACUACACAUGAAGAACUAGCAUCAAUUUCUAUGUUUUUGUUGUUGUUAACAUUAAACUAAUAGUCAAACGAAAUUACACUAGAUUAACGAAUGUCUACAGUUCAAUAUAUAUCAAUCUAUUCAAAUCAGUUAGAAGUAGUUCUAAUUAAACAGUCCCCGGUCUAAUACAAACCAAACAAAUUAAAGCUAGAUAACUACACAUCAUUUGACUGACUAUAACUACAUGCAUCCAAACGAGCAUAUAUCUGGAAUACUAUUUCAUUUCAUUCUAAUUCGAGGCUACAUCAGUGUGAAUUCAAAGUGUGUACCUGAAAUUACAAUGAAAUAGAAGAGAGGAAGAUGAUCUGAAACAGUAGAUAGCAGACAAUAGAAAAAACUUUAGUCCAACACAGCCUCAAAAUCCCAGAAGUGAAAGAAGAAAAAGCAGCACCAGUAACAUGAUCUAAAUAGCCCAGAUAGAACCCAGCCAACUCGAAAUUACACCUUGAAUUACUUCUGCCAGUAUAUUACUCAAAAACAACAUGAAAUAACUCGAAAUUGGACUUCAAACUCUAGGAAUCAGAAUGAACAAUUAACUCGCCAUUAACCCAACAUUCCUUAAUGCAAUAGUACUUUUUUUUGAAUUUUCUCUCUCUUUUUUUUUUGUACUUUUUCUGAAGAUCUAAGAUCUAAAAGAGUUUUUGAAUUUGAAUUUCAAAUUAUCAAUUGAUGGAAACUAUAGAAUGUUUUUUGGGUAAAUAUUGGAUGCUAAAAACUUGUGAAUUAAGGCAUUGACACUGCCUUUUAUAGGCAAAAUGAGAGCAACCAUCAGAUUUUUAAUUUACACUAUUAGUCCCUCUUUUAUUUGUACUUUUUAGGUAGUUACUCCCUUAUUUACUGACUUAUUACCCAAGCUACCCCAUUAUGAAUCUGAAACUUCAACUAGAACCCCUUCUAGGUGUUUCUAGAAUUUUCUGAUUUCAGUUAUUACCAAAUUCCCUUUGUCCAAAAACUUAUACUACCCCUCAAUUCAACCUGAAAUUACCAACUCACUAUCAUCUAACCUAGCCCCCAUGAUUAACUAAAACCUAGAUUAUUUAGCCAUAACCAAAAUAAUUUCAGAAGCUACACGAUUGAAUUAAUAGCAAACUGAAAAUUAGUCUAGAUUCCUACUUCUAUCACUUUAUCAAUUAAACAAGAUUGACAAACAAAAUCAGACUAAACUUGAGUCAUGAAUUACCUAACUCACUUAAAUAUAAACUAUUAAAACACGAACACAAGAUUAACUAAUCAAAAUUACUAACUGAAAGCAGAAAAUAACAUCACUAAUCAAAAAUAAAAAACGAACCAGCAAAAUAAACAUGAACUAAAGUUAUGAUAAAAACAAGAACUAGCACAUGAAUACAACUACACACAGCUAAACAAAAUUAAACCAAAUUAAUCAUCAAAAAAAAAUGGAAACUCACUUAUUUAACUUCUAAAAUCCGGCUAAUUCUCAAAUUCUAAAUCCGACAUCUCUUGUGAAAUUUGAAUACUACUGAUGAUGAAUUCCUCAUGAGGGAAGUAAGGGGGUCACGUGGUAUCGAUUUGGUGAAGUUUGGAGAAUUUUGAGGUUUUGGCCGGAACUUUGAUCAGAUAUUUAAGGAGUUCGGCGGGGAUUCGAGGGACGGGGUUUGGAAAGAGGAGAACGAGGCGGUUUUAGGGUGUGAAUUUGAAGAGAUUGGGUAACUUUGGUUUUUUGCCGGAAUCUUUUGCGUCAAGAUUCGAAAGAACUGAUAGGGACUUGAGAGAAAUUGAUCAUGGAUUUGUAAUGAGAAGGUUGAAACGAUAUAGGGGUGUAAAUUUGGGGUGGUUUGGAGACCGGCCUCCGCCGUGGGCGAUUUUCGGCGAUGGCAGGCGGCAGAGAUGAAGAGGGGUCUCUAAGGGUAUGUUGAGGAUGAUGAGAGGGGGUUGGGGGGGAGGGGGGGUAGUUCGGAUAGUUAAAUAUCAAGAACACCCUACUUCAGGGUCGUUGGAUUGAGAUACC
rnacentral:lncRNA from 1 species